UACAGAGGUCUCAAGCGUUGUUCGGAUUCAUUGGGCGUAAAGGGUGCGUAGGUGGCGCCGUAAGUCGGGUGUGAAAUUUCGGAGCUUAACUCCGAAACUGCAUUCGAUACUGCGGUGCUUGAGGACUGGAGAGGAGACUGGAAUUCCUGGUGUAGCGGUGAAAUGCGCAGAUAUCAGGAGGAACACCGGUGGCGAAGGCGGGUCUCUGGGCCGAUACUGACGCUGAGGAGCGAAAGCGUGGGGAGCGAACAGG
rnacentral:rRNA from 1 species